rnacentral:tRNA from 1 species
GCGCUCGUAGCUCAAUUGGAUAGAGUGCAAGACUCCGGAUCUUGAGGUUGAGGGUUCGAACCCCUCCGGGCGUACCA